AUAUGAACAUGGGUUAUUCCUGGAUGGAGGAACGUUGUUGCUGCAAUCCUGGACUGUGCUUGCGAUCUCACUGGGAGAACAAGGGAAAGCUGCAGCUGUGAGUUUGUGUGACCCCAAGCCCUCGAUGCCGACUGACCACAAGCUUUAAAGGACAAGAUUUCAUAUUGAAACCAACAGCAGCAACAUUUGGAGAGCUAAACAAAAAGGAAAAUUUGAUGCCUGGUGGGGAAGGAGAAAAUUCUUAUCUGGCCUGCCUUGUGCUGGGGGUCUGCAAUCGUGGCGUCUUCUCUGGUGGCACCUUCCCUGGUGGUAUUUUCCAUGUAUGCAAAGGCCUACAGCUGGCUGUAGGGUUUAUUAUAAUAAAUUAAAUUAUCUUGUUCAAGGCUCAUUUCAUGGGUCUUCAGCUCUGCUCUUUACUUACUUCACACUCAUGACACAUUUGCUCUUCUCCUUCCUCCAGGGAUCUGCAAACAGCCUGGCUGGCACAGUGACACCCUUCUGGGGUGACAUCCUUCUGCAUCCCUGGAGCCCAUACUCUCA